UAACCAAUGGUUAUAUGGCCAUUGUAACCAUUCUAUACAGUGGAUUCUCAGGAUUUGCCACGUCUAAUUUUAUACCCCAACUCAAGCAUAUAGUGACCACAUAUUUGACUUCCCUCUUGUAUUUUCUUCUGUAUAAAUAUUAACUUUUAGAUGUCAAACACAUCCAAAAAAUAUAUUUUUAUUUUGGAUAUAUACAUCCUCAUCCAUAUCUGACCCAAAUAGGGUUGGACCUGGAUGAGAAACCGAUUAGUAUUCUUCAUCCUGAAAACUUUUGUAAUAUGAUUUGCACAUUUAAGCCUCGGCUUUUCUACAACUGUGUUCAAAUAAAGUCCAAAACACACAACCUGAAUUUCAAUAUGAAUUCGUUUUCUCCCUUUUCUUUCAGGAUGGGAUUAAUUAUGUUUCUGGUCUAUCCGAAAUGCGUUGGAUGAUUAUUUUAUUGUUGUGUUGUGCUU